rnacentral:rRNA from 1 species
CAGUUGCCAUCGUAAGGCCGGGCACUCUGGAUGGACUGCCGGCGACAAGCCGGAGGAAGGUGGGGACGACGUCAAGUCAUCAUGGCCCUUAUGUCCAGGGCGACACACGUGCUACAAUGGCCGGCACAACGGGAAGCGAAGGGGCGACCCUGAGCGGAUCCCACAAAAGCCGGUCUCAGUUCGGAUUGCAGUCUGCAACUCGACUGCAUGAAGUUGGAAUCGCUAGUAAUCGUGGAUCAGCCAAGCCGCGGUGAAUACGUUCCCGGGCCUU